rnacentral:rRNA from 1 species
UGGGGAAUAUUGGACAAUGGGCGAAAGCCUGAUCCAGCCAUGCCGCGUGAGUGAUGAAGGCCCUAGGGUUGUAAAGCUCUUUCACCGGUGAAGAUAAUGACGGUAGCCGGAGAAGAAGCCCCGGCUAACUUCGUGCCAGCAGCCGCGGUAAUACGAAGGGGGCUAGCGUUGUUCGGAAUUACUGGGCGUAAAGCGCACGUAGGCGGAUUGUUAAGUCGGGGGUGAAAUCCCGGGGCGCAACCCCGGAACUGCCUUCGAUACUGGCAAUCUAGAGUCCGGAAGAGGUGAGUGGAAUUCCGAGUGUAGAGGUGAAAUUCGUAGAUAUUCGGAGGAACACCAGUGGCGAAGGCGGCUCACUGGUCCGGUACUGACGCUGAGGUGCGAAAGCGUGGGGAGCAAACA